GAAGAUCCGGAAGAGGACACAGGGAUCUUAGAGUGCACGUAAGCACACAGAAUCCAAACCCGGACGUGUUGAUACGAAUUAACCAAAUUGCAAAUCAUCCUUCACGUCCGUUAAAACUCGUAAUUGCAGCGAAGAUUAUCGCUUACCGGCUCCAUUUUCAGUCAAAAACACGAAAUUAUUCGGUGAGCGAUUAUUAUUCGUCUGCGGCGUAGGGUUUAUGACCUCUUAGACGACUUCAAUAAGCUCCGAUUUCGCGAAAUUCAGUUGAAAUUUUGACCUAAUUUAGUGUUUAUUAUUGUUAGUUUGUGUGUAGGUUGAAAUUUCGAUUGUGAUUUGUGUUUGAAUGUUUAUCGGUCAAAUAGCUAAACUAAUCGGUGAGCGUAGGGUUUAUGACUUCGUAGAAGGCUUCAAAAAGCUCUGAUUUCGCGAAAUUCAGUUGAAAUUUUGCUCUAAAUUAGUGUUUAUUGUUAAAAUUUCGACUGUGAUUUGUGUUUGAACAUAUUUUAUUGGAUCAGCCGUUGAUUUUUUGGAAGCAGAUGAUCAUUUUUAAGGAUUCAACUGCUGAGGCGUAGGGGACAAUUUAUGUGUGGAGUUAGAGAUGGAUUUGGUAGCGAGUUGCAAGGAAAAAUUGUCACAUUUUCGGAUAAGAGAGCUGAAGGGGAUCCUCACCCAACUAGGUCUCUCCAAGCAAGGAAAGAAGCAGGAUCUGAUUGACCGUAUAAUAGCUGUUCUCUCCGAUGAACGCGUUUCAGGAAUGUGGUCCAAGAAAAACGCUGUUGGGAAGGAAGAAGUUGCCAAAUUAGUCGAUGACAUUUACAGGAAACUGCAGGAUUCGGGGGCAACUGAGCUGGCAUCAAAAGGUCACGGUGUGUCAGAUAGUAAUAACACAAAACAUAAAGCAGAAAUCGAAGUCCCUCAUCGGGUGGAAAAAGUCCGUUGCCCCUGUGGUAGUUCAUUGAAAACUGAUUCAACAAUUGAGUGUGAAGAUCCAAGAUGCAAUGUUUGGCAGCAUAUUACUUGUGUUAUUAUCCCGGAGAAACCCAUGGAGGGUAUUUUACCAACACCUCCCCCAAAAUUUUAUUGUGAAAUUUGUAGGCUUGGUCGUGCAGAUCCGUUCUGGGUUACAGUGGCACAUCCGUUACUUCCUGUGAAGAUGGUUAUCGUAAAUGCCCCAACAGAUGGUGCAAAUCCAAUGCAAAGUGUUGAGAAAACUUUUCAACUUACAAGAGCAGACAGGGAGUUGUUGGUGAAACCCGAGUAUGAUGUGCAGGCUUGGUGUAUGCUUCUGAAUGACAAGGUUUCUUUUAGAAUGCAAUGGCCACAAUUCGCAGAGCUACAAAUCAAUGGAGUGCCUAUGCGUGCAAUAAAUAGACCUGGUUCUCAGUUACUAGGAGCCAAUGGCCGUGAUGAUGGUCCUAUUAUCACACCAUGUACUCGAGAUGGAAUCAAUAAAGUUACCGUAACAUGCUGUGAUGCUCGGGUGUUCUGUUUCGGUGUUCGGAUUGUGAAAAGGCGCACAGUUCAACAGAUUCUCAAUCUUAUACCCAAAGAGGCUGAUGGUGAGCGAUUUGAAGACGCCCUUGCACGUGUUCGUCGGUGUGUAGGAGGUGGUGCCGCCACAGAAAAUGCUGACAGUGACAGUGAUCUGGAGGUUGUUGCUGAAAAUAUAUCUGUUAAUCUACGCUGCCCUAUGAGUGGUUCAAGAAUGAAAAUUGCUGGAAGAUUUAAACCUUGUCUUCACAUGGGCUGUUUUGAUCUUGAAGUGUUUGUGGAAAUGAAUCAACGGUCUCGUAAGUGGCAAUGCCCUAUUUGUCUCAAGAACUAUGCUUUGGAGAACGUCAUUAUCGACCCAUAUUUUACUCGUAUCACAUCUAAGAUGCGUAAUUGUGGGGAGGAUGUGACCGAAAUCGAGGUGAAGCCAGACGGUUCAUGGCGAGCAAAAUCAGACGAUGACCGAAGGAGUCUAGGUGAUCUAGGGCAGUGGCAUUCACCCGACGGCACUCUUUGUGUCCCCAUGGAAGUCGAGUCAAAACCGAAAUUAGAACCUCUAAAGCAGGUCAAACAUGAAGGUGGUUCGGAAGGUCAUAACACAGGAUUAAAACUCGGAAUGAAAAAAAAUAAAGACGGACUUUGGGAAGUCAGAAAACCCGAAAAUAUGCAUUCACUUUCUUCCUGUAGUAAGCUACCGGAAACCGUUAUGAACAACGGUCAUCAUAAAUCUAUUCCUAUGAGCAGCAGUGCGACCGGCAGCGGUAGAGACGGUGAGGCUACUAGCGUCAAUCAGGAGGGUGGUGGUUGUGGGCGGUUUGACUUUUCUAUCCCUAACGGGACUGAGCUUGAUUCCCUCUCGCUCGGUGUUGACCGUAACCAUAUGGGUUCGGCAGGCAGGGAUGCAGACGUUAUCGUUCUCAGUGAUUCAGAAGAGGAAACCGAGAACCUAAUUCCUUCGGGACAAAUUUAUAACAACAAUGAUGAUAAUAAUAAUAAUAAUCCAGAUGUUGAACGGGUUUCUUUUUCUAGUCAUCAACUUGUUAUUCCUGAGCCACCUCCCGAACUGGGUCUUUUUAACGCGGAUGAUUUCGACGUUCCGUUUUGGUCUUUACCUCCUAGUAAUCAGUGUGAGCCGAGCUUUCAGUUAUUCGGUUCCGAAGCGCACCCGACAGAUACGUUACUUGACUUACAUAACGGUCAGUUCGGUUCCACAUCAAUGAGUGUCGGAACCUUCUCAUUGGCUGGUGAAACUUCCAUGGGUUCUGGUUCUGGUUCUGCACCACUUGUUCCUAACUCUUCACAUCAUCAAUCGAUGAAUAUCAACAAUGAGUUGGUUGAUAACCCGUUGGCUUUUGGUGAUGACCCUUCACUGCAGCUGUUUCUUCCAACAAGACCAUCAGAAGCAGCACAACAGGUUGAGUUGCCAGAUCAGCUGCCAGCUAUGUCAAACGGUCUUCGUAGUGAUGAUUGGAUAUCACUCAGGCUAGGUGGCGGCAGCGGCGGCAGUGGCGUCCAUUGUGAACCUGAUGCUGCCGCUAAUGGGUUAAAUCAGAGACCGCAGCCACCAUCAAAGCCGCCAUCAAAGGACGGUGCAUUGGAUUCAUUAGCAGAUACUGCUUCAUUGCUUCUUGGAAUGAGUGAUGGUAGACCGGAUAAGAUAAGUAGGGAAAGAUCCGAUAGUCCUUUCUCAUUUCCUCGUCAAAAACGUUCAGUCAGACCUAGAUUAUAUUUAUCUAUUGACACAGAUUCUGGAGAAGAUAUAUAACCAGCAUGGUGUUGACCAUUUGACCCGCAUUUUUUGCAUCAAGUUCAUUCUAGAAAUAUGAUGGCUCAUAACUCUCCGGUCCGCAACAGGACGUGUAGCCAGUUAUCGGGUCACUAUUAUAAUGGGUGCGAAUCGACCCGUAUGGUUCUGAUGGGUUUUCUGCAUCUAAUAUCAAUGGUUUCUGUUGUUUCUUAUCUUCAAUGCCUCCGGCAAAGGGCAUGUCAAAAUGGGUAUGAUAGUAUGAUACUGAUAGCAACUAUUUAUAUUGGGUUGAAAAGAAUCAAAUUAUCUAAUAAAGCGAACAAUGUAUAAAUGUUAACUCUAUUUAUUUAAUACAUCCGAGUAUUAUGUGUUAAAAAA